AGUGUUCUUUGGAGUCUGGGGAAGUUUGGCCUUUAAAAAUCAAACUGCCAUGGACACUGCUUUACCCAAAAUUUUGGUUCACAUUCUUCACUGGAUUAACUAUUGGGGCAAACAACGUAUAACCAUGUAAAACCAGUAAGCUUGUAUUGGCAUUUCAUGGCUAGAGUUCUAAGUCACAAGCACCUCUUCGGCAAAGCCCACCUCCCUCUCUCGCUUGAUUCCCCGGCCAUCCUUAUCAAAGACCUUCCAGGUGAACAGGCAGCCAUCCUCAGCAGCAGUCAGCAGGAACUGAUCAUCAAAGAACCUCGCUCUGUUGCCCAGGCUGGAGUGUAGUGGCGCCAUCUUGGCUCACUGCAACCUCCGCCUCCCAGGUUCAAGCGAUUCUCCUGCCUCAUUCUCCCCAGUAACUGGGACUACAGAAACUUGCAAAAAUAGCACAGAGAGUGGACUUCUGGAAUGGCACGGCAACAAAAUUCCCUACGGCAGCACCCAAAGGCUUGAAAUUAGCCAUUCCAAGUGUGUCCAAAAAACUAAAGGAAACCAUGAUUAAACAAGUAAAGGUAGAAAUGAUAUGCAUCAAAUAGAGAAGAAUAAAAGGAUCCAUCAAUAUAGGGAUAGAACUGUAAGAAAAUAGAAAUUCUAGAGUUAAAAAGUACAAUAACUGAAAUGAAAAAUCCACUAGAGGUGCUCAAGAAUAGAUCUGAACUGGCAGAAGAAUUAGUGAACUUU
rnacentral:sRNA from 1 species